CCAUACUGAACCAAUAUCUACACAACAUACAGUAAAAUUCAUUAACACGAAAGUGGACUGAUAACGUUCAGGCAGAAAAACCAUUUCGUCCAUGAUUUGGAGAACUGGGACGAGAUUUAUCUGCAUGUUUGGGUUGCUCUAGAGACUUUGCUAGAGGUCUAGAAUCGUCAUCAUAAUCCCCACGCUCUCGAGGCUUCAAAUGCAAAGAACCGUUUUCCUCCUCGGUUGCGGUGCCACAAAGUUUGCAGGGGUUACUCAAUCUAUGGGAGCACCAAUGGUCGGGCACGCACAAAAAAUGGGUGUCCAUGAACUUCCUAAAUCUCUUUUUGUAUUCUUUUGGAGAGAUAACAGUUGGCUGCUGGUUCUUAGGAACAACCAGCGAAGACUUGACCCAAUUCUCUAAUUGUUUGUCCCAUGUAUAUUGUCGGAGAUAAUCUAUGAUGCCACAGACCAGUUCCCGACGUUGAGUGUCUACUCCCACAAGUAGAGAAUAAUCCAUCACGUUGAUCGACUGAAAGCGAGCAAAAAAGGAUAGUGAGAAGCCCAAGCCCUUAGUUAUGAACAAUAUAGAUUAAGAUAUUUAGUAAAAAAUUGGGUGCAAAACUCACGUGGAGGAAAGUAGUGUCGUUCCACACAGCUCUUUGCAAGUUACGCUUCGAUUUCAUACUGAUAUAUAGAGGUGAAUCAUUCAUAUCAUUGACGAAAUUCUGAUCCAAGAGAACAUCACCCGAUCCAUUGCCAGCAGAAUUGAAUCGAGCAUGAAGAGCUCCUUUAAGAUCAUACUGUUUCGUUAUGUUUCGACCAAAUGACAGAUUCUCCAUCACCAGGAGAUCAUGUUUGGUCUCUUUUCCAUUCUUAGUUGCUCUUACGAUGACCUACGAAAUUUAAAUUUGUAAGAUUAGGCCCAGGAAUAUUUCUGAGCGUGGUUGGCUAAGCUUCAAAAUAUAGAAGUAACUUCUCUCUUCUACCACCACUACACCACCGCCCCGCCUCCGUUGAAAAUUUCCCAAACUACCCUCGCUGCCACCCAGAAUUCCAUCAAAGUCUACGUAUUAGACCUGCCCAGAUCCUUAAACUACGACCUUUUAAGAAAAUACUGGGCCUUAAGCGAUGAUACGAGGGUCGGAAGUGAAGUGGAUAAUGAAAUCCGAAUGACCCUUUUGCACAGAUAUCCUGGUAAAUUACUGCCAUAUCCUGAGAACCCUAUAAUAAAACAGUACAGUGCGGAGUACUGGAUCUUGGGGGAUUUGUUGACACCGGAGGAGGUAAAGAAAGAGUCUUUUGCUAAAAGGGUGUUUCAUUAUCGUGAGGCGGAUGUGAUUUUUGUGCCAUUUUUCGCGACUUUGAGUGCUGAAUUGCAGCUGGUGAGCAAUAAGGGUGUGUUCAGGAAGAAGGUGGAAGAGAAUGAGGAUUAUCAGAGGCAGCGAAUGGUGGUCGAUUUGGUGAAAAAGUCCGAGGCUUGGCAAAGAUCGGGAGGGCGGGAUCAUGUCUUUGUUCUUACAGGUAAUUGUCGAAGUGUUAUUUGCCUAUUUCAUGGAAAUGCUACUGCAUUUUGCUUAUUAUUUAUGCUAAAUGAAACAAAGUAUUUUGCUUAGUAUUUCAUGGAAAUGCUACUGCAUUUUGCUUAUUAUUUAUGCUAAAUGAAACAAAGUAUUUUGCUUAGUAUUUCAUGGAAAUGCUACUGCAUUUUGCUUAUUAUUUAUGCUAAAUGAAACAAAGUAUUUUGCUUAGUAUUUCAUGGAAAUGCUACUGCAUUUUGCAUUAGUUAUCAUUUUUUUGGCUUUGAUAUGCAGUAGUUCAUAAUUAAACAAUGUAUUACGCGCAGAAGAAUCAAAACCAAAUACUAACGAAGCGAGAUAAAAUGAAGCUACUUCUAAGAAUAAUUAUAUGGGUGUUAAAUUGCCUUUUUAAUCCAUGAAGUAGAUGUUAUUGUUUUGCAAAGUGCAAACUUGAUUCUUGAAUCUAUCAUCAGAUUAUCAGUCAGUUAUCAAUAAGAUUAAUGAUUGGAAGAAAUUUGCUAUUUUUUGUAUGCAUAAUUCUGAGUGUAAAAGAGCCUAGAUUCCCUGUACAAAGUGAUCCGCUUCCUUAAAAGGCCCAGCUUAGUGAGUCCCCGUACAACUUUGCACAGUCACGGGUUAUUUUGCCAAAUUCUAUUAAGGCCUGCUUGCUUCCCACACCCCCCCCACACUGAUUUUUUGAAUGGCACUAUUUAUGAGAGGUUGGGAAUACAAGUGCUUGUUAAUUUUUUUGGGUACUGGUUUUGGGUGAUUUAAAAAUCAUCCAAAUUAGUAUAGUGUAAUUUUGAUUGUAUUUCUCAACCCAUCGAAUUAGUGUUUUUUGGCCUUUUUCAACAUUUCUUCCAUUUUACACUCUGUAAAACAAUCAUUUUCAAAUCUACCCUGAAAAGUAAUGAAGUUUGGUCAAAAAGAAAAGAAAUUCUUUUCAUAAAUCAUUCUCUCCAAACGUUUCAGAAAGAGCUUAGAUGUACCUACUCAUGGAAAUUAGCUUUACAAUUAUAUUUGAGUUUGUUUAUCUUAUAAUUCAAUAGAAAAUUAUUGGCAUGCAAGAGCUUAUUUAAAGCAACAAUAAUUAGUUCAAAGGUUAGUCCAUGCAAGAUAAGAAAAAAAAUGGUUGGAUAAAGUACAUAAAGCUAUAUUGAAUUGUAAGGAGUGAAAUACACAUUUACUACAUAUUGCUUACACAUACCUCUCUUUUUUUCAUGUGUAGGCAUAUAUGUAAUUUAUUGUUUUAAAAAACAUUCAGAACUGAACUGUUGGAUAAUAAACUCCAAGCAUGGGUUGGAUUGUUUUAAAACCGAUUUUCAAAACCACAAAAAUCAGACCCCUUAUAAACGCCCAAAAUCGGUACCUUAAAAAAUUACACAUUUAUUAAUGCCAUGUUUGGGAGUUUUAAGAUACCGGUUAUGGUGCUUUUUUUAAUUACCUCCAAUUUUGGGUGAUUCUUAAUAGUGACCUUUUUAAACACUCCAACCUAUGCUUGAGAGUUCAUUACAUAGCAGUUAAAAGAAUAAAAUUACAUGUAUGUUCCUUAGUAAAAUUUCCAAUUUAUAAUUUCUUAUGAAAUUUUUUUACUCAUUAGUGAAUGUUACUUAUAAGUAUUUUUUACAUAUAAGUUAAUUUUUUUUACUUUUAUGUUAAUUUAACUUAAAAAGUGAAAUAUAUUCUUAUAAUGAAAAUUUAAGUUAUAAAUAAUUUUUACUUAAGUAAAAUUUAUAGUUAUAAGUUAAUUUUGUACUUCUAAAUAAUUUUUACGCGCAAGUGAUUUUUGAUUUUUAAGUAUCUUUUUAUAUUUUAUAAGUGAAAAUUUGUAUUAUUAGUAUGAUUUUAUGUUGUAAGCAAUUUAAAAAAAAAAAAAUUGAAAUUAUUUAUGAGUAAUUUUUAAUUAUUAUAUUUUAGUUUACAAUUUAGUUUUCAACAAAAUGUGUGGGUUGAAAAUAAUUAUUUUAUAGAGAGUAAAAUUAAAAGAGAAUUUGAGAAACAACCAAAACACACCGAUUUGGUGGGUUGAAAUAUACACGACCAAAAUUACAUUACACCAAUUUUGGAUGGUUUUAAACCCUCAAAACAGUGCCACCAAAAUUACAUUACACCAAUUUUGGAUGGUUUUAAACCCUCAAAACAGUGCCCAAAAAAUUAAUAAACACCAAUUUUCUCAACCUCUCAUGAAUGGUGCCACCCAAAAAGGGUCAAAACGGGUUAAAUAAGCUCCCAAGCAGACCCUAAGAGUUUUGUCUCAUACCCUUGGAAUUCUCUUUGUAAUAUCUACUUACCUGUGUGGUGUGGAAUUUGUGACUCGCCCAAGGCAAGAUCUUAGUCUCUCGUGAUAACCACCAUGUAAUCAUUUCUCAUAGAAGCUUGGUGUACAAAGGUAUCUUUCUCUACUCUGAAGAUUGAGUAUAUAUAGUGAGCAAGAGCUUCUGGCCUUCUAUCAUGUGCUUAUUCAAAUUAGUUUCAAAUAUUAAUUUUAUAACGGUGGAUAAGUAAUUGUAGGGAAAAUGGAAAAGUAAGAAAACUUUGUGUUAUCAAUGAAAAUGCUGAUGGAAGUAUUUGCUUAAAAUGAAGGUCAGACUUCAUUGUUUGGGGAAAAAAACAAGGCAAAAAGAACCAAAAUGUGCAAACUGCUAGGAUAGAAAAUUUAAAUUUUGUGAAGUCAGUUGCUAUUAUGCUGAAUGAUAUAGCUUAUGAUCGUGGAUAUCUGUCUAAUGAGGGCUUAAAAAUUUAAACAGCACAAUCAGCAUUUGACAUAUCAACAUCAAUUGUUAAUCCUUCCGUUAACUGGCUUCUGUAUUUGGAAUUUAGUGCAAGCCUCUUUCCCUUAAUCUGCCGUCAGGUCAAAAAUGCCACUUAGCUAUCUAGCAUAAAUCUAUUCAUUUUAGAACCAAGAACUAUGUUAUUAUGGUGAUUGUCAAUUGAUACUAUUGCUAGUCUCUGAAUAUUUGAGACCUAAUUCUAUAUAUUAAUCUUCAACCUAGCGAACAUAGGAUAACUUAUUGUUUGUGUAAAUCUCUUAUAUUUAGUUUCUGGAUUGUCAGGUUAUGUUAAAACUUGAAGCAUUCUUUGGCAGAUCCUGUUGCAAUGUGGCAUGUCAAAGAUCAGAUAGCCCCGUCGGUUCUGCUUGUAGUGGAUUUUGGUGGAUGGUACAGGCUUGACUCUAAAGCAUCCAAUGAUAGCUCAACAGAGAUGAUACGUCACACCCAAGUUUCACUGCUAAAAGAUGUUAUUGUGCCAUAUACGCAUUUGCUUCCUAGGUUGCACAUAUCAGAAAACCAGAAACGCCACACCCUGCUUUAUUUCAAAGGAGCUAAACAUAGGCAUCGGGUUAGCAUUCUCCUUCCAGCAAGUUUAGCUAAAUGCAAUAAUUUGUUUCAAGAUGUGCUGACUACUAAUAUUCUCUAUUAUGAACUACUUGGAGCUGAUUAUUAAUAUUAUUCUCCUUUUCAGCCUGGCUAACUUAGGCACUUUAUCUAACUACUGAUGAAUUAAUGAGAAUGUCAUGGCUCAGUUUUAUUAUCAUAGAACAUUCGUUAGGAAAUCUUUUGAGGAAGUGGUAGUUGUAUUCAUCGUUUCACAAGGAUAAAUCGGAUAUCAAGGCCAUUUUGCCUUCAUGAUGUAGACCAGUAAAAUGAUUAAAAAAAGAAUAAGAUACGAAAUCAUACUUGUCAUAAACCAUAAUCCAUAUAGAAGAAUCAUAAGAAAGCAUUUCAACAAAAUUAAAAGGGUCCACUUUAUGCUACCUCUAUUCAUUUAUAAGAAUUUGGAUGUAGCUUGCUCAGGGUAUAGGUGGAAGAAACAAAUUAGGGAAUUUAUUAUUAUUAUUUUUUAGAGGUGCCUUCUAACCUAUUUCCCAUCCUGACCUUCAAAGUUGUUUCAUUAGAUAUUAAACCGAUUAUGCAUUUUCUCCUUGAGGUAGCAUCAACCAUCCUUUUUUGCUAGUGUUCAGAAUAUGCUACCACUACUCAUUAAAAGGUGAUUUAUUUGUAUUUGCUUUUCUUGUUGAGUUUGGCACAGUGAGUGGGCCAAUUGAACUGAAUAGACUCCAAAACUUAUUUUUCAAUCCUUCAGUUAUCUCGAGUAAAUCAUUGGAGUGAAUUUUUUUAUUUUUAUUUUUUGAACUCUUGUUAUUGGAUGAACAUAUAUUUUGUUUUUUUCUAUUUCCUGGUUAUUCUAGCAAAUUAUAAAAUGCUGUCAAUUGCUUUUCUACUGGUCAAUGUUCUCUUGUUUGUUUUACUUUAUUAAUAUCUGUUUUUUUGAGGUUCCCAUCAAUGAUAUUACAAUAUUUGUUUCAUUAUAUAUAUAGGGUGGACUUGUUCGAGAAAAAUUAUGGGAUUUAUUGAUCAACAAACCUGGAGUUAUAAUGGAAGAAGGCUUCCCCAAUGCUACUGGAAGGGAGCAAUCGAUAAAGGGAAUGAGGACAUCGGAGUUCUGUUUGCACCCUGCAGGGGACACACCCACAUCGUGUAGGCUUUUUGAUGCCAUCCAAAGUCUUUGUAUACCAGUCAUUGUUAGUGACGACAUAGAACUUCCGUUUGAAGGAAUGGUGGAUUAUUCAGAAUUUUCUGUCUUCGUGGCAGUUAGUGAUGCAUUGAGGCCAAAUUGGCUUUUGAGUCAUCUUAGAAGCUAUUCUGAAGAACAGAAGGAUGGAUUCCGGAAAAAUAUGGCUCAGGUUCAACCCAUCUUUGUGUAUGAUAAUGGUUACACAGGUGGCAUUGGCCCAAUUCCUCCAGAUGGUGCCGUGAAUCAUAUUUGGAGAAAGAUACACCAAAAAUUGCCCGUGAUCAAGGGAACUAUUAUCCGCGAGAGGAGAAAACCUCCAGGUGCUUCGGUUCCCCUUCGUUGUCAUUGUACUUGAAUCUGUUUAGGAGAUCAUUCUUAUAUAUAUGUGUGUUAUCCUCCCUCAAGAUGAGUUCUUUCAACGUAGAAAAGCUUUGAUUACACGACUGCAAAAUGAUUGCAUAUAGUACUAGAGGUGCUUGAUUUGGUUGGAAGAAAGCUUAUUGUGUAUGCCCAUUAACGGAUUACACAAUUGCAAAAUCAUUGCAUUGGAUACUAAAAAUGCUUGUUUUAGUAGCAAAUGUCUUUGGGGUGGCACCAGAUUCCUACGUAUUUCUUCCAUUUUUGGUUGCCAAAUAAAUCCCAAUCCAGAAUUCAAAUGUAGUCAAUGCUGAAGGUGGGCGCGGGUCGGGUCGGUUCGGUUCGGUUCAGUUCUUUUUAGAAUCGAACAAAGAACCGAACCGAACCAAAAUUUUCGGAUAUCUAGUAAAUGGAACCGUCGGGUCUAAAUAUAAUUAUGGAACGGUUUGGGUUCGGUUCGAUUCUGUGCUAUAAUUAAAUUUUUUAACAUUUAUAACAAUAUUAUAUAAAUACAACUAAUGAUAUAUUCAGUAGUUUUAGAAUGUCAUAGAUUAGUAGACUACCUUGUUCAAAUGAUCAUUACGGUCAAAGUUUCGGUCGGCGGAGGUCGCAACUUCAAUCGGAGGUCACUGUAUCGACCGACGAUUGUAUAGGUUUUGAAAUAUCAGCAAGGCUGCGAGAGUGAGUGGGAGAGUCGAGACAACGUUAUGCACUUUAGUGUAGGUGUUUAGAAUUAUUUAGUGGAUUGAAUUUUAUUGGGUUAAGAAAUGAAACAAUAAGAUGGAUAAUGGAGCCAAAAAUUAAAAAAAUUAGAAAUGAAACAAAUUAUUGGGCCAAAAAUUUAGAUUUAGAAAUUGUUAAUUUGUUUAGAAAAAAUUAAAAUUAAAAUUAAAAUAAUUUGAUUUACUCAAUAUAAAAAAAAUUAAAAAGAUUCGGUUCUUAUUCGGUUCUUCAGUUCUUGAUCUAGAAUCGAGAAUUGAACCGUACCCGUCGGCUCUGAAUUCAGAUAUCCGUUCAGGUAUUUAAUUUGACAAGAAUCGUCGGGUUCGAUUCAGCUUGAUUCAGUCUAUUCGGUUCGGAAGAUUUGUCCAACCUAGUCGAUGCAAUCCACCUAUCCUCAAAAUUGACGUCAACGGUGGGCUAUUUUCUGAGAUCUGUGACUACCAAACGAGUGUUAUCUAGAAGUAGCCCUCAUCAGAUGACAUGUCGAGAGCCUUCCAAGAAAGGGUGCUACUUUGAUAUCAUUGUUACCAGUCUUAAAUGGUUUAUGAAAAAAGAAUGUCCAACGAGCUAAUAAACCUACAAGGAUGCAGAAAUGGGAAUCCAAUACCAGCAGUUUGUUGGACUUCUUUAUUGGUUUUCAUCGUUUAACGCUUGUUGUAGAUGGAAGAUUUUUAUAGGACUGGACAAAAUUUCCGAGUAGAACCGAACCCAAAUCGAGCGGUUCUUCUUAAGUUAAACAUCCGAACGGAUAUAUGAAUCAAGAACCAACGGAUUUGAAUCGGUUUCUAGAUCAAGAACUGCAUCUUCCUAAUUUUUUAAAUUAAUUUAUUUUUUCUAAAUAAAUUUGUUAAUUAGUUAAUUUAGUUCAGACCAAAAAAUAUGAUUUUUCUAUUUCUGAUUUUUAGUUCAAAGCCAACUUAAUCAAAUCAAUCUAAAAUUUAUCCAAAUCUGUUACUUUACCGUCGUUUCCAUCGUUCUGGAGAAAUCGAAUUGAAUCUCGACACCACCUUUUUUAGUUAUUUUGAGCUUGUUACUUUCCUCUUCCUGUGAUUUUAACAAUCAAUUCUAUGAAAGACUCAGCAAAGAAAGAUGCAAAAAACACAUAAAAUUAGACUACGUUAUUUGGUAAGAGCUAAGAUUGAAAAUAUCAUUAGUUGAAUUAAUAUAACUUUGUAAAUAUUAAAAAAAUUUAAUUAUAAUACGGAACCUGAGAAUCGAACUGAAUCGAAUGGAAUUGACUCCGAACGGUUCCAUAAUUAAAUUUGGACUUGACGGUUCCACUUACUAAAUACUCGAAAAUUUCAGGUCCGGUUUGAUUCUCGUUAGAACCGAACACAAUCAGACCAUGUCCAGCCUUAGAUUUUUCACUUAGGACACUACCCUCGUCGUCAAUCUUUUCAAUUUACGAGUCUUUGUCCCCAAAUCAUUCAACUAUGAAUAGUUUUCAAUUAUGCUAUUUGUACAAUCAUACUUGAAGAUGGUGUUGGUGUCAAAAUUGUAGCCAUUGAUUUUAAAAAUAGUUUUUGAGAUAGAUGAAUGUGAUGUUGUCAAUCAAAAUUGUCAAACUAGAUUGUACAUGUAGCAAAUUCAAUAGUUGAACUUGAUCGUCCAACAAGUUUCAUUUGACUCAACGGAUGAUGAAUAUUCAGUAUAGGCACUAAUUCUUUAACAUAAAGAUCCUAAUGUGGGAAAUAUAUUAAUCUCAGAAAAAUGACUUGCCCUUUAAAGCUGGUUUCUCAUCCUUGUUUAGCAAGGAAUGCACUGUACAUGACAAUAUUACCUUAAAAAAUACUUGACAGGCCAUAAUCAACAUGAAACCCGUGCCAUGUCUAUUUCUUUCUGUAUAUAUCGUCAAAAAUAAGCCAUUCUUGAUCCGUAAUACUCUCAGCCCACAUGGUUAAUCAAGCUGCAAAAAAAGCCAGACCUUUGAAAAACACGUCCCCCUCAACCUAACUCCAUUUACAAUAAGUUCUCUUCAAAUGAUUUUCUCAAUUUUUGGUUUGGUUGAUAUGACGCCAUCGACGAUGGAUCGAGCUGCGAUGGGCAUGUGAAUGUAUCAACCUUCAGGUAUCAUUUUGGUCAUUGGUUCAUACAACUGAUUCUCCAUAUCAGCAUCUACAGGGGAUUCUAACUCAUCCUGUUUUAUUGACCGGAUCGACCAAGUCCCACCACAUUUCUCGGUGAACCAGACAGGUCUAAUCGGCCUGGCUAAGCUGGUUGAGGAAUCCGAGACGAUCUGGGAAUAAUCUGUAAAAGGCAAAGGUAUAUUUCCAAAUCCCUAAUACUUCGUUCCCAUUCAUAGCAUAUAAAAGAAUAGAAUUCUAGAGAAUACCAAUGACAAUUUCUUUUUCUUUUUUUACAAUUACUCAAGAAGAUAUACAUACAAAACUUAUAUGCAAUAAAUAUGAAAUAACCUAUAAAAGAAGAUAGACGUAAUGCCCCCAUCAACUUUGCUGAAAAAAACCAGCAGAAAGUGAGCGGCCAUACUGAACCAAUAUCUACACAACAUACAGUAAAAUUCAUUAACACGAAAGUGGACUGAUAACGUUCAGGCAGAAAAACCAUUUCGUCCAUGAUUUGGAGAACUGGGACGAGAUUUAUCUGCAUGUUUGGGUUGCUCUAGAGACUUUGCUAGAGGUCUAGAAUCGUCAUCAUAAUCCCCACGCUCUCGAGGCUUCAAAUGCAAAGAACCGUUUUCCUCCUCGGUUGCGGUGCCACAAAGUUUGCAGGGGUUACUCAAUCUAUGGGAGCACCAAUGGUCGGGCACGCACAAAAAAUGGGUGUCCAUGAACUUCCUAAAUCUCUUUUUGUAUUCUUUUGGAGAGAUAACAGUUGGCUGCUGGUUCUUAGGAACAACCAGCGAAGACUUGACCCAAUUCUCUAAUUGUUUGUCCCAUGUAUAUUGUCGGAGAUAAUCUAUGAUGCCACAGACCAGUUCCCGACGUUGAGUGUCUACUCCCACAAGUAGAGAAUAAUCCAUCACGUUGAUCGACUGAAAGCGAGCAAAAAAGGAUAGUGAGAAGCCCAAGCCCUUAGUUAUGAACAAUAUAGAUUAAGAUAUUUAGUAAAAAAUUGGGUGCAAAACUCACGUGGAGGAAAGUAGUGUCGUUCCACACAGCUCUUUGCAAGUUACGCUUCGAUUUCAUACUGAUAUAUAGAGGUGAAUCAUUCAUAUCAUUGACGAAAUUCUGAUCCAAGAGAACAUCACCCGAUCCAUUGCCAGCAGAAUUGAAUCGAGCAUGAAGAGCUCCUUUAAGAUCAUACUGUUUCGUUAUGUUUCGACCAAAUGACAGAUUCUCCAUCACCAGGAGAUCAUGUUUGGUCUCUUUUCCAUUCUUAGUUGCUCUUACGAUGACCUACGAAAUUUAAAUUUGUAAGAUUAGGCCCAGGAAUAUUUCUGAGCGUGGUUGGCUAAGCUUCAAAAUAUAGAAGUAACUUCUCUCUUUCAAACAUGUUUAUAGAUACUCCUUUUUCUUACUUUUCUGCCAAAAUGUAACUUUCAAACUUUGGCUUUAUAAGAGCUAGACAGCCAUACAAACACGGGAAAAAGUAGAUAGACUGACCUGGUAAAUGCCGAGAACUUUAGCAAGGCAGGUCGGAUUAUGCAACUCAUAACACUGAUCCAUGUACUUAAAGUAGUUGGGUGCAAACUUCAUGAAUGAAUCGAAUUCUGUCCUCUUAAUCUCCUUUAUUAUUAAUCGAUCGUCGAGUGUCUUAGCAAAGAAAGAUUUACUCUUCCCACCUUUGGCAUCCCAAUUCCUACAACGGCUUAAGGAAGCAAUAUAAUCCACUUCAGAAGGACAACAUCGGUCUCGCAACUGACGGAACUCACUUGCAUACAAACAUAUAACAGAAUAUUUAUGCUUUCCUUUUGACCCCAUAGAGACUUGCGGUUGAUCCGUAAUACUCUCAGCCCACAUGGUUAAUCAAGCUGCAAAAAAAGCCAGACCUUUGAAAAACACGUCCCCCUCAACCUAACUCCAUUUACAAUAAGUUCUCUUCAAAUGAUUUUCUCAAUUUUUGGUUUGGUUGAUAUGACGCCAUCGACGAUGGAUCGAGCUGCGAUGGGCAUGUGAAUGUAUCAACCUUCAGGUAUCAUUUUGGUCAUUGGUUCAUACAACUGAUUCUCCAUAUCAGCAUCUACAGGGGAUUCUAACUCAUCCUGUUUUAUUGACCGGAUCGACCAAGUCCCACCACAUUUCUCGGUGAACCAGACAGGUCUAAUCGGCCUGGCUAAGCUGGUUGAGGAAUCCGAGACGAUCUGGGAAUAAUCUGUAAAAGGCAAAGGUAUAUUUCCAAAUCCCUAAUACUUCGUUCCCAUUCAUAGCAUAUAAAAGAAUAGAAUUCUAGAGAAUACCAAUGACAAUUUCUUUUUCUUUUUUUACAAUUACUCAAGAAGAUAUACAUACAAAACUUAUAUGCAAUAAAUAUGAAAUAACCUAUAAAAGAAGAUAGACGUAAUGCCCCCAUCAACUUUGCUGGAAAAAAACAGCAGAAAGUGAGCGGCCAUACUGAACCAAUAUCUACACAACAUACAGUAAAAUUCAUUAACACGAAAGUGGACUGAUAACGUUCAGGCAGAAAAACCAUUUCGUCCAUGAUUUGGAGAACUGGGACGAGAUUUAUCUGCAUGUUUGGGUUGCUCUAGAGACUUUGCUAGAGGUCUAGAAUCGUCAUCAUAAUCCCCACGCUCUCGAGGCUUCAAAUGCAAAGAACCGUUUUCCUCCUCGGUUGCGGUGCCACAAAGUUUGCAGGGGUUACUCAAUCUAUGGGAGCACCAAUGGUCGGGCACGCACAAAAAAUGGGUGUCC
rnacentral:lncRNA from 1 species